AGAGUUUGAUCCUGGCUCAGGACGAACGCUGGCGGCGCGCCUAACACAUGCAAGUCGAACGAGAGAUGAGGAGCUUGCUCUUCAAAUCGAGUGGCGAACGGGUGAGUAACGCGUGAGGAACCUGCCUCAAAGAGGGGGACAACAGUUGGAAACGACUGCUAAUACCGCAUAAGCCCACGGCUCGGCAUCGAGCAGAGGGAAAAGGAGCAAUCCGCUUUGAGAUGGCCUCGCGUCCGAUUAGCUAGUUGGUGAGGUAACGGCCCACCAAGGCGACGAUCGGUAGCCGGACUGAGAGGUUGAACGGCCACAUUGGGACUGAGACACGGCCCAGACUCCUACGGGAGGCAGCAGUGGGGAAUAUUGCACAAUGGGGGAAACCCUGAUGCAGCGACGCCGCGUGGAGGAAGAAGGUCUUCGGAUUGUAAACUCCUGUUGUUGAGGAAGAUAAUGACGGUACUCAACAAGGAAGUGACGGCUAACUACGUGCCAGCAGCCGCGGUAAAACGUAGGUCACAAGCGUUGUCCGGAAUUACUGGGUGUAAAGGGAGCGCAGGCGGGAGAACAAGUUGGAAGUGAAAUCCAUGGGCUCAACCCAUGAACUGCUUUCAAAACUGUUUUUCUUGAGUAGUGCAGAGGUAGGCGGAAUUCCCGGUGUAGCGGUGGAAUGCGUAGAUAUCGGGAGGAACACCAGUGGCGAAGGCGGCCUACUGGGCACCAACUGACGCUGAGGCUCGAAAGUGUGGGUAGCAAACAGGAUUAGAUACCCUGGUAGUCCACACCGUAAACGAUGAUUACUAGGUGUUGGAGGAUUGACCCCUUCAGUGCCGCAGUUAACACAAUAAGUAAUCCACCUGGGGAGUACGACCGCAAGGUUGAAACUCAAAGGAAUUGACGGGGGCCCGCACAAGCAGUGGAGUAUGUGGUUUAAUUCGACGCAACGCGAAGAACCUUACCAAGUCUUGACAUCCCUUGACGAUGCUGAAAACAGCAUUUCUCUUCGGAGCAAGGAGACAGGUGGUGCAUGGUUGUCGUCAGCUCGUGUCGUGAGAUGUUGGGUUAAGUCCCGCAACGAGCGCAACCCUU
rnacentral:rRNA from 1 species